rnacentral:lncRNA from 1 species
CUCUUAAGAGCUUCCGAACGGCGAUCCUUCUACUCGGAGCAAACAUCGGCACAAACAUGCAAGCAAACAAACAAAUACAACUAAGAGCAGUACACCAAAAUAAAAGACAGACUUUAAAAGAGCGUACUAACGACAAGGCUCGAUCUAAGGUCACGCGAACGUAAGGAACACUUAAAACGGAACUAUGGUUGAAAAGAUAAAGCUAUCGAGAGUUUUGAAUUAUAAAAGAAAGAUAAGAGCUACAAGCUUUAUUUAUUUUAGUUGAGAAAAGCAAUGUAAAGAUAUUUCAGAGAAAUAUCCUUAGUUAGAAUUAAUCAAGUCAUAUUUAUAUUUUCAUAAGAAAAGACGGUGUAAAGCUUACUCCAAUUUUAUUUAUAAAUAUUUGAGUACAAUUUAUGCCAAUUAAACAUUUAAUUUAAAAAUAAGAUACAUGUAGACAUCUAAGCGUAUAGCUUUACAUCUCGAGUUCAACUAAGUAGAUUAAAUUAAAAACACAUUUACAUUUAUAUUAGCCAAAUUAAUAUUUAAUUAUGAAAACUCGAGAUAUAACCUAUACAGAUUUUAUUUAGAAAACAAAUUGAAUAAACAUUAAUCAAAUUGAAUUUAAUUUAUGAAACGCCGAGGUAUAACUCUAAGUGGCUUUUAAUUGGAAGAAUUAUUUAGAUAGGCAUUAAUCCAAUUAACUUUAGUUUAUGAAAAACCGAUAUAUAACCUAAUUGGCUUUUAUUUAGAAGAGGGUAUGAAGUAGGUAUUAAUCAAAUUAACAAUUAUUAUGAAAAACGAUGUUUAACGCUAAAUAGAUUUUAUUCAGAGAAGAACUCGUUUGUCAGGCAUUAAUCAAUUUUAAUAUAAAUUUUAUUUUCAAAAACAUGUGUGAAGGAAAACAUACCACUAACGUGUAAUUUACAUCAUUAUGAAUCUAACGCAACUUGAACGGACGAAAACGGAAUUAAAACGUGGGUUCUAUGGGUUAAACAAGGUUGUAGGGGCCUAAACGUAAUUAACCGUAGACUUGGAGGGUUAGCUGAGAAGAUUGGCAAGACACAAGAAAUAGUGCUCGCGAAAAGGUUAAAGGACAGGGUUAGAUUUGCAAAACCGCAGGGGCUGGACUGGAUCUAGGGAAACUAAUAGAUCCAGGGGGUUAUCUGCUAGUUUGCCAAGACACAAAGGAAAGAGGAAAAAAUUACAAAGUUCUCCAGGGGCUAAACUGAAAAACGGCGCUUCAUCUUCUUCCCCACGCCAGGAGCAGGCGGCGGACAGAAACAGAAGGCAAGGCAGUCUGUUACGGUUGCAAAAACAAGGAAAAGAGAGAAAAAGAGGGAAUCGCCGGAAACGAAGUCCGAUCUCGCGCAUGAACGGCAAAAUGGAACGAUAUCGACGAGGCGAACAAGAUGGUGUGCUCACCUUCGGCAAGAGAUGAACAAUGGUGGCGGAAAAGCUCGCCGGAGUUGGGGAAGACGACGGAGCCGACAUCGGAUUCAUGCAAUCCACCACACCACGGCGUAGAGCUCGAAGAGAGGAACUCCAUGGUGGUGUCGGUUUUCGCCGGAAGUUCACGGUUUCGCCGGAAAAGCUCGCCGGAGUUUGACAAAGACCGAACUUUGACUUCAGAUCUACGGAGUUAGGAGAUGCAACUCGUAAAAAGGUUUUCAGAUCUGAAAUCC